GCGACCUACAUACAUGUACUUGACAUAAUGUACAGUAGGCCUACACGUUUAUCUAGCCAUACAGCUACGUGGUCUAGCACGGGUAGGCCUACUCUCGCGCAUGCGAGAAAUGCAUGAUAAUGGGUGCCCGUUACGCAUGCGCGGAGUAGCUGCGGGUAUGAUGAGUCGCAGAUGAGGCCGUGUCCGAACGGGCUUGCGAAGGUACGCCUAGGUCUAUUGCCUACGCGUCUCCACGUAUUUGUAAUGGAGCGAAGACCUAGACCUCUAGACAACAUGCAUAACUGACAGAAUGUGGGCUGAGCUUGGAGCCCAUUUCGCGCACGCGCAAAUGCAUACUACCGCACGCACGAACAUAGGUCGUUAAUUUACGAAUCGCGACGGAAAGCGUGGAGUUUCGCAGAAUUUUCUCCAAAAUACGUUGUUCGCAGGCGUAUUUAGUAAUUUCAACACAGCAUUUAUGGAAGUCAGGAUACAAGGCACUUGUUAACGACAUUUUUAGCUGUCUUCGUCGGGUAAAAAUGUGAGAAAAAGUGUUGAAAAAAAUUUCGCACAGUGUCUGAACUUUCAUACCCUCUGGACGUCAUUCGCAAUGCAAUGUAGACGUCGUCCAACCUGGGCUAGGUUGGGGUGAGAUUUCCAUGUAUGGAUAUCACUAAUUGGCCCUUGCAGCAGAUUAUUAGCCACUUAAAAAGUGAUAUCAUCAACAUGUCUUUUAAAAGUCACAUAGAGCUGUUCUGAAACACAAGCUAUUUGUGCAUUACUAGCUUCACUAGUCACUGUGCAUCAAUCUAGCAUUACUAUAUACCAAGCUCGUAAGCAGUAUAUUUAGAUCAUUUCCUCAUAGCCAUUAAAACAAUGCAUGCGAACCUUGACUAACCCCCAUCCCAGCCAUGCAGUAAUAAAUAACGACCACCUUUAACCACUAACCAUUAACCUCAACCCUUAACUGGGUUCUUUUCAUAACCACACAUAAUCAACAGCCUGCAUGGUUCUACCACAAACCUUUAUAACCUCCAUUAACAAAUAACCUGUAGCCAUAAACCAUAACUUGACCAAUUACCACUUUCCUGAUUAGAGUGAGGAAUGUGAUCUGUUUAAAUGCUGAAAAGACUGAAAAUUUUCUUUCUGCUUAUGUGCUUCAUUGCACAUGAUGUGCUCUUUUGUCUUAAAAGAAUCAAUGUGGCAUUUCCUGAGCUCGUUUGAAAUUUAAAAAAUUGCAAAGGUUAUUUAAAAAAUCCCUGAAAAUGCCUCCAACUUUGGCAAGUUCCAUGGUCAGGGUUCUUUGAAGUCCAACUUUGGCCCCCAAUAUAAUGAGAACUGUGCAGGCUCCUUGGACAGUCUUCAGCAAAGAGGGGAAAUCAACAUUGACCUCUGCAGCAGCGGACUCUGAAUCUUGACUUUGAGAAUUUAAAAAAGGAGGACUUCAUGGACAUGAUAGAAGCUGCAGUGUUGGAAAAGAGACUAGAUCUCUUGGAGAAAAUGAAAGGACAGUUGUGAGGAAGAGACCUCAAGAAUUCUUAGUGGUGUAUGGGAGAAAAAAAUGACUGAAUGUCUGGAAUCGAUCCUGUAGAAGCUACUUUCUCUCAGCCUCAAGGAAUAUCCAGAAACCACAAUCUUCUGUGGCGAGUGAGCUGAAAAAGUUGAGAUGACGAAGAAGACAGUUUGGUAAGGAACCACAGUCUACUAUGACAAUUGAGCUGAAACAGUGAAGAAAAGACAGUUCGGUACAAGAAGGUGUGACCAUCCAAGUAGAGGCCGGGGGACAAGAUUGCAUGUUCACUAAGGUGUGAACAUGCACAAGAACCCCGGAUCAUAGUAACUAGGCCUGGUAAAGUAACCCUCCAUUUUUAUAUCCAAGCAAACUUGAAAUGUUUUUGUUCAGGUUUGCUUCUGGACCAUCCAGGGAAAUUUUCUUGAAAGCAUUUUUUGAGUAAUAUCGGGAAUUUGGUUGCUACCCUGACACCUUUGCUCAAGAGGAAAAAAAUUGGAGAAAAAUGGUUGACUACAUGUAAUUGGUUCAUGAAAAUCGAUUUUGAAAACACUGUGUGGAAUUUUGAAAUUGGUUUUUCUGAUGUUGUCCAAGGUUCCUUGUUAGCAGUGAAAUGCAUUAAUUCAAGUCAGUUCAGUGUUUUCCCAGAGUGGUUCAGCUGCAUGCUGUGAUUGUGUGGUGGUGGGCUAUGUGUUGUGGUUGUGCAGGGUGGUGGUCUCUCAUAGGUCAUCGGCUCAAAUUGGGCAUUUCCUGCACUGAGUGUCAUUCUAUAAGGACUAUGGGAUCAUCUAUAUCCAGAUGUCCUCAAGAUGGGUGAUGGGAUCUUCUAUAUCCCUACAUCCCCCAAGCAAGACCAGCAAGGAUGAUGGGAUCUGCUAUAUCCCUAUGUCCAUCUGGGGGCGGAUCUUUGGUGGCAAUGAAAGGGGGCCAACUAUAACUCAGCUCCUUGGGGAGCUUGCAUUUUAAAAUUAUCUGAAGCCAUAGUUUUCUCUUUGAGGGAAUGUAUACGACGAUUGUCAUGGCAACAGCAUCAAAUAUCUUAUUGGGGCCUAUGAAAAUAAAUUAACUCAAAUUAAUGGUCCACUCAGGAAAAAUUGUGUAGAGCAAGAUUAGGGAACUUGCCCCUGGAUCCGUCCCAGCUGCAAGACUCCACCAGCUAAAGAUCAUCUUUAGGGCAUAGGUAACUUCCUUCAAGGACAUUUUCUUUGUAGUGAAGCUGAAACUUUCACUAUAGGUUUUUUUCCUUCAGGCUCAGUUGGAUCUGUUAUAUCCCUCUGAGAUGUGCAGAGACUAUGGGAUCUCCUAUAUCCCUGUGUCGUUAGGGCUUAGGUGGGUGCGGAGAUCGAUUUGAAAUUGGAACUCACUCCAGUUGGAGUCCUGGGGUUUUCAAUGCGAGAUGUGCGGAAGGGGCUAGGCAGUUCGUGAGUCUAGCCCUACCAACGUUUCUGCUCGCCGGAAAAGAUGCAGGUAGUUGUGUUCCUCGUGUCGAGGGCUUCGGACCUCUUCCAUAGGAGCAUGGCCCCGUUAUCAUUGAUGGUUAGCAAGACGCUGGUACGUCCUCUCACCGUCCCAGGGGUGAGGGGGCACGCGUGAGUAGGCAAGGGCACUCUCCUUCAGGAGGGCAGACCCCACAGUGGCAGAUGGUGCCCCUGCGGCCGCAGGGUAACACCAGUCUGUCCAGCGAUGGGCCCGCUAAUUGCCGAAAGCGUGCGGUAUCCUGGGACCUGGGUUUUUACUAACCUUACCAAGAUAAUCACCUUACUGGGCGUCAAAGGUGAGCAUACAACUGUACUCAACAAAGUACUUUCAUAAACAACUUUGUUUAUUCUUUCAUUUAUCUUUUCUGCCAGUGAUGUUUUUCUUUCAUUUUCAAGAGCAUACAAAGAAUAGCCUUUUGACCUCCAUACCUGCCCCCCGAGGAGUGAAAAUUCUUUACUAUUGCCUUGUUGCAUCAGACUGCUAACAGAAAAAAAACGAAACUUAUUCAAAAGUUCAAAAAUUUCAGUCGACAGAAAAAAGCCCUGAAGAUAUUGAUUGAUUUUCAAAAUGUAGUGCCUACACUUUCAAAAAUCUUACGUGGAACCAUAGUCGAGUUGACACAAGAACAUGUGCUAAAUUGAAAUGCUUUUCACUUGAAUAGUUUCUUUUUGCUUUUUCAUUCUGACAGGUCAUAAAGGUUUUUAACUAACAAAGAUGGAAGAAGACUGUUGACUUUGAGUUAUCCCUUGUUUGGUAAAGCCCCCCAGAGGCCAGAUAAAUUUUACUGACUGAUGAGGUCUGUGAUUACCAUGGUAACACCAAGGCAUCUGGUAGUGCAGAACAUACAGUGUGUGAGAUGCAACCAGACGGGGCACAUCCCAACGGACCAAGAGGAUUUAAUUGGUGGUGAUGAUUCUGAUGACAGCCGUUGGCCUGAGCCCGGAAGCCUUCUUGAAUUUGUUGACCAAGAAACAAAAGAAGAAACUCCUCAAGAAGCUGAAUGGCAUGGAGAAGAAAUAUUCUGGGUUCGUGUGUAAGA